CAUGCGAUCGCGCGUCGACAUCGGACGCUAUGGCACACUCGUGCCUUCUGUGCCACCGAAGCCCCGAAGUGCCCAGGCAUAUACCUUCACAUGUUUCCCUUCAGUAGGAAAUUGCUGGACAGGCGGACCAGCGCACCGGAAUUGUACUGGCGAAGCCACAAGCAACUCAAAGGAUCUGUUUAAUUGUUGCACUUUGAACAAACAUGCUUCUACAAAGGCCACAGCAGAAAAACAGCCUGAUGCCGAGUAUUUCUGUGCCACGAAGUAAUCAAGAGGCGAGUGCCUAAUGUGGACGAAACCGAGUGCAUCGAGACUUUGAACGACAGAAAGCUGAGCUAGUUGGUAAGGAUUCAUUAUGCAAAACAGAGGUGAGGCGUGCAGACAGGACACAAGAGUAGAGAAGUGGGCGGCGCUCGUGUUGUUUGCUUGUAAAUACUAUAUAUUCUUGUGUCCUGUCUGCACGCCUCACCUCCGUUUUGCAUAACGAGUGUAUCAACCCACAUAUUAAUAGCGUGGGCGUUUUAUUAACUGUGCAAUAUUUUCAACACUUCCUUGCAUGCCAUUUCAUGUGGAAUAUCUUUUUUGGUCACAAAUUUGUGCAGCGAAUCUAUUUGCAUGAUCGACUUCGGGCCUGUAAGUCCGUUCACUUGCACUUGAUGCUGAGUCUUUUACAUGUAUCCAUAAACUGCAGAUAUGCACAUCAGAUCCCUGCGAGCAUUUUCAAAAUUCAGUUAUUUUAGACAACAGGCACAUAUGCAAUACUGACAUAAUCUCAAGUACCACUAAGCAGCUGGGACACAUUUUUGUUGACCGUACUCGCAGGUAAAAUAAGUAGAUUAUGUGGACAGCUCCAGCUCAUUUUCCUUAAAUCAGUGUGUACAAGGGGUAUGCAAAAAUAAUUUUUUUCUCGCGCACCGAUUCUUUUGCUGUAUAAGUAAGAGAACCCACCACGUUAGUGUAACGUAUCUUGUACAUCACACUAAUAAGUGCUUUAAUUUACCAAGUGAGAUGAGUUACUUUUAUGGAUCAUUCAGUCAUAUCACACUGCAAGCUGCAUUCAUCAAUCUUCAAUUGGAUUUCGCAUGAAACAUGUUUCCCUUUUAUGCAGAUAUGCAAUGGCAAGCCCUUCCGUGUGUUCCAAAGGUAAAAUUUAAGCUCGAAAUUAAAGAAGACAUUUCUAGUCAGAAACAAGCAAAAAUGGUGAAUGCAGAGUAUCAGAAGCCCAAGGUACAGAAAUUAUGAGAAGUGUCGAAUGAUUUUAAGGAAAGAAUGGUAUUUGAAGAUGCAAGAUUCUUUAGUGGAAAUCAAGCAAGUCAGUAUAGGUAGAAUACUCUGAGAAAUUAUGCGAAUAAUGCGAUAGCACACAAUGGGUCAGGAAAUGCGUUGUUUUUCUGAAAAACUAAAGCUGAUGACUGUCAUAUCAUGAGUCACUUUAGCAUCAUGAGACUGCUGUUUGAUAAAUUCAGAAACAAACCAAAAGCAAGCCAUGCAAGAAUAAAAAAAAACUAUUUAAUGAUGCUCUCUCCACACUGGGAUAAAUAAUAAGAAACGGAUCACGUCUAAUGUGGACAUAUCAGACACCUUGUGAAACACUAAAGGAAAAAUUCAGUUUCGAGCUAUGGCACUUGCCGCAUAGAUGGGGGGGCCUUGCACCAAUAGUAAUAGUUACCACUGCAUCUAGAAAUUUAAAGCAUUCAUGCAGACAAGGAUGAUUCUUUAUAUUUUUGGCUACCACUUCAAAUGCCUCCACUAAGUGUUACAAUGCUGCACGUAGCCAUACUAAGGAUCUCACAGCAACACUUGCAGGUAAACAGCAAAAGCAGUCAAAGUGCUGGUGUAUUCUGGACACUGCCUUUGAAAACUUUUAGGCAAGAACAGUGCAAGAAACAGACAUAAGAACUGCAUUUAUUUCUAUAAUUCCCCAUUUGAAUGGCCUUUUCUUUUUCCUUCGACAAUGCCUUCGCCUAGCCACAGCAGCUCCCUCAUACAGACUCCGCAAGCCAAGAGGCCGUGGAGGCAAAUGCAGACAGCCAGCACACCUCGAACAGCCACCUUGACUGCGGGUGUGUCACCCUAGUCGCCAAGGAAACAUUUGAGGGAAAGCGACAGGCAAUGUGAACAGCCACUUCUCCAUGUAAACGAUACUCUUUCUCGCGGAUGACUCCUACGUUCGCCACGCCAGCACACUUGUGCACAAAGAUGCCGCGGAGGCACGUGCAGGUCAGAGGCAAGAAGCAGUGGCACUGGUGUCGACAUUCGCCCAAUUUCUUUUUCUUGCACUGAGGCAGCCAGGAC